AUUGAACGCUGGCGGCAUGCUUUACACAUGCAAGUCGAACGGUAACAGGCCUUCGGGCGCUGACGAGUGGCGAACGGGUGAGUAAUGCAUCGGAACGAGCCCAGUCGUGGGGGAUAACGCAGCGAAAGCUGCGCUAAUACCGCAUACGAUCUGUGGAUGAAAGCGGGGGACCGUAAGGCCUCGCGCGAUUGGAGCGGCCGAUGUCAGAUUAGGUAGUUGGUGGGGUAAAGGCUCACCAAGCCGACGAUCUGUAGCUGGUCUGAGAGGACGACCAGCCACACUGGGACUGAGACACGGCCCAGACUCCUACGGGAGGCAGCAGUGGGGAAUUUUGGACAAUGGGGGCAACCCUGAUCCAGCAAUGCCGCGUGCAGGAAGAAGGCCUUCGGGUUGUAAACUGCUUUUGUACGGAACGAAACGGCUCUGGUUAAUACCUGGAGCUAAUGACGGUACCGUAAGAAUAAGCACCGGCUAACUACGUGCCAGCCGCCGCGGUAAAAC
rnacentral:rRNA from 1 species